ensembl:lncRNA
CAAAAUAAGUACAGAAGUGGACACUGUCGAAAUAAAACCGUAAAAAUCAAAAAGUCCAAAUAAAACAGUAAAACCAAAGCAAAAAAAGUCUAUUGAGUUAAUUGGUUCGUCAAUCAAAAGUAAGUCACGUGACAAUUCAGACUCGAGUGAUUGGCUCAGUUCUGGAACCAUGUGACCACGGAGUGUGCUUCCACAGACAGCAUGCUCAACUACAUUUAAAACAUGCAAAUGUUUUCUGAGAUGUAAGAACUGCUCGGGUUCUUUAAAGAUGUUUUGCUUCAUAACUUCUAAGAAGAUGUGUGUGAGUGUUACCCGUGGCUUUUUCUCCAAACUUGCAUUUGAAACUCAAUCUAAACGUCUUGCUGCUGUCCAACAGAUGAUCAUAAAUCCUGCUUUGACCUUCUGGAAAUCUUACAAACAAGGAGGAUUUGCUGGAGCUCAGGUGUACUGUAUGUGCAGCAGUUUUCAAUCUCACGAAGAUUAAAGCUGUGACUCGUUUGUCAUUUCAGACAUGAAGCUGCAUCUCCUGAUGAAACUGUUCUCUUUUAUUCUGUCUGAUUGUGCAUCAAAGAUAAUAGUCUUUGAGAACCUGCUGGUGUUUAUAACGGCUGUAGUUUUAGUUCACAUGAAUUCAGAUCUACCUGCUGCUAGUUUUAUUCUGAGUGAUCAAAUAAAAACCUUUUUUUCCCCUCA